rfam:TPA: Bos taurus chromosome 12, whole genome shotgun sequence.
UCCCUGGUGGCUCAGAAGGUAAAGCAUCUGCCUGCAAUGCAGGAGACCUGGUUUCGAUCCCUGGGUUGGGAA